UAUAGGUUGGAAGUUCGGACCACUUAGUGGGUGACCGAAUGAGACGUGUUGGCAGAAGCCAAAAUGUGGUGAGAUAGUAAAUUGGAAGAGCCGGACAAGAGCAAGUGUCAAAAACAAUCAUCCAAUUGUAUAAUUUGACGCGAUUUGC
ensembl:ncRNA Y76F7A.5 ncRNA